UCCGCCUGCGGUGCGACGCGCCCCACGCCUAGGCCGUGCGUCGCGCCUGCCGGCGCCAUGGCCGCGCACGCCGCGCCGCGCCGCCUCCCGUCCUCGACUGGCCACCGCCCGGCUCGGAGAGCCCAUCCCGUAGCGGCAGCGUGGCUCGCCCCCUCAUCGCGACUCGACGUCGUUCCAACGAAGAUUCGUAACCACAAAGAGAGAGACGAUGGGGGCUUAUCUCUUCGUCGUUUUUCAGUUUUACCAUCGAUCUCUCCAUAUCAUAUUUACAAUAUGUAAAUGAUUAUUCCAGAUAUUCUAUGUGAAAAUGGGACAUGUUCAAUGUAUUUGCUACUCCUAUAUAACAAUUCCUAUAACAUAUUCUUUACCGGUACAACCAUAUUGUGUUUUGU
rnacentral:lncRNA from 1 species